rnacentral:rRNA from 1 species
AUGGGCAGGAGGCCAGCCGAUCUGACGCCAAGCCACUGGUUGCCUCCGCCCACCCUUGUAGUUCCAGGCCGGAUCCCGCUUGCUGGGCCUCGUCCCCGGCCACCGGUGACCUCGUCGGAGCCCACCUGCGUCGCCGGCCAAUUUCCCCUGCUUCGCCCUACACUGAACCUGCUUCCUAUCGAACAGAGACGCCACGCGCAAUUGUGCUGCCUCCGCUUCGCUCUGCCUACGAGACCCAGUGCCGCGCGAAGCCCAUGCUUCCCAGCCGGCCUGCUUCUUCGCUUGGGCCUAGGCCCAUGGUGA